rnacentral:rRNA from 1 species
UACGAAGGGGGCUAGCGUUACUCGGAUUGACUGGGCGUAAAGGGCGCGUAGGCGGUUUGUACAGUCAGACGUGAAAUUCCUGGGCUCAACCUGGGGGCUGCGUUUGAUACGUGCGGACUUGAGUUCGGAAGAGGGUCGUGGAAUUCCCAGUGUAGAGGUGAAAUUCGUAGAUAUUGGGAAAGAACACCGGUGGCGAAGGCGGCGACCUGGUCCGAUACUGACGCUGAGGCGCGAAAGCGUGGGGAGCAAACAGG